UCCUCCAAAACAUCCACUCCUAAAAUCUCUCCAACAACCAAAUAAAUCAAUAUCCAUCAGUUUAAUAUCCCACAUUCACGUCUUCCACAUCCAAGUAAAAUCUGUGAGAAAAAAACCUACUGCAGUUUUCUCCUCUUCCGUGAAGUGUAAAGGAGAAACUGGAGAGCUGUGAUUACCUUCUGUGGUGCAAACUUUCUUCUUCCCAAAGGGUGAGCUUGUGCACGUUGUUGCGGUUUGGAACAAGAAAGUGUUGAGGAGUUAAGCUUUUGAGAUUGAGCGGCGAUGGGCGUGGAGGAUGUUGAGCAGAGUCCAUGGAUUGUUUUGUCAUGGUUAAUAAUUGUUGGUUUUGUCGUGUCUUCAUACUCGGCAUUUUCCAUGUCUUGAACGCUUCCGCUAAGAGUCCUUUUCUUUAGAAUUGUUUAUUCGUGGAGAGUCUAACUCGUUUGAAAAUUGUUUAUUUUCUAUUCUUUAUUUACUUAGAGUUGGUAUUAUUGUUAGGAUAAUAUUAUGACGUUUUCAAAGUUAAUUCAGUUAUUAAAUUUUUG